UUGCUAAUACCGCAUAAGAUCUACGGAUGAAAGCAGGGGACCGCAAGGCCUUGCGCGAACGGAGCGGCCGAUGGCAGAUUAGGUAGUUGGUGGGAUAAAAGCUUACCAAGCCGACGAUCUGUAGCUGGUCUGAGAGGACGACCAGCCACACUGGGACUGAGACACGGCCCAGACUCCUACGGGAGGCAGCAGUGGGGAAUUUUGGACAAUGGGCGAAAGCCUGAUCCAGCCAUGCCGCGUGCAGGAUGAAGGCCUUCGGGUUGUAAACUGCUUUUGUACGGAACGAAAAGACUCUGGUUAAUACCUGGGGUCCAUGACGGUACCGUAAGAAUAAGCACCGGCUAACUACGUGCCAGCAGCCGCGGUAAUACGUAGGGUGCAAGCGUUAAUCGGAAUUACUGGGCGUAAAGCGUGCGCAGGCGGUUAUAUAAGACAGAUGUGAAAUCCCCGGGCUCAACCUGGGAACUGCAUUUGUGACUGUAUAGCUAGAGUGCGGCAGAGGGGGAUGGAAUUCCGCGUGUAGCAGUGAAAUGCGUAGAUAUGCGGAGGAACACCGAUG
rnacentral:rRNA from 1 species